ensembl:lincRNA
AGGCUGCAUAAAACAUAACAAACAAAAUAAAUCCAAGGUACAUGCAAAACGCCAUUGCCUCUUCUUUUGUUUCGGGCACAAUGUAACAAGGGCAGCCUGUCUGGGGCUCUGCUCAUGCUGAUACAGUAUUGCUGUUUAAACCUCCCUCCUCAAGGUCACAGCCAAUUUCAGCUCUGAAAUAAAAAGGCAGAUAGUGGCAGCGAUGGUUUGGGUUAUCACUGGCAGAAAAGCAGAGUGUAAAAGUUUAUGAGCUCAUCAGGAUUGUUGUACCAUUACAUCAGAGGCAAUUAUAAAUGGCCAAGAGCAGGAGAUGGGGAGCCAAUCAGAUCACAGAUAGGAUGUCAACCUAAGACCAACUGUCUCCUGGCUUUGACAGAAGGAUUUUACCUCCAUAAUUCAAAUCCCAAACCAAAGCAAUCUGCACUUACUACUCCAAUCACUCAGCUGUUUACCAGCACUUCCAGAGAGGCCCAGGCCACUGGGCCGGCAGAGACUAAGGCAGAAGAUGGUACGGACGGCCCUGGGUGCACCCCUGCCGGCCUCUAGCUGCCCCCAAGCAGGCCCCCGACCUCCCUCGAGCCCGAGGGGCCCCUCUCUGAAAACACACACUGGGGGACAGGCUCAAGAAAGGCGGGGGGGGGACGACAGAGAGGAGCGGCAGGAGACUUCUUAUCGCCGAGCCCGUCCGCGUGGCAUUCAGCAAACGCGGACUGGAUCUCUGGCCGCGCGGAUCAGGUGGAGUUUCGGGGGUGCAGUAACUCCAGUGGCUGCGGCCACCAAGGAGGGGGGCAGGGCUGCCGGGACGCAGCGGCUGAAAAUGGCAGAGGAUGUGCUCUCACUUUAUCGGGCUGCACAGCGUGCUAUGGAUUGGGCCCAAGCCUAAGGGGAUGACCUAUGAAAAUCCCACACAGUCAACUGCAAAAUGUGGAAGCGGGGCCUGGAGGCUUUGCUAGGAGGGAGGAACGUUCUCCGGGAAGCCGUCCUUCCUCUCAAUCCGUUUGUUUCCCCUCGAUGUCUGAAAUAACAAAAUUCGUCAAGCCAACAAAAGUUGGAGCUCUCCUCCCCUGGCACCCCACUCCGUCUUAAACCUAGGGACCCCAAGGCGGGCCGCGCGGGGCUCCGGCUGAGGCGUGGAGCUUCGGUGCGGCGCGGGGCUGUGGCCCCUGUAGGCUCCCGCCACGGCCAGGAGGCAGACGCCCAGCCGAGCAAGCGCUCCCGAGUGCGAACUGGAGCUGCGAGUUUGAGCAAAAGGGCAACUGUGUCAGUUGACGGAAGCCAGAAGCAGAGUUCAAAGCCUGGCGUGGAUUUCCGUCUGGAGCUGUCUGUUUCUUAAAGUUUGUAACUCCGUGUUAAGAAACAGCCCCAGCGGAGGCUUUGGGAUCAGUGUGAAAGUCUAGCACUACCAUCUGACAGCGAGCAGCAAAACUUUGGGCUGCAUAUUAAGCGAGGAAAGUGGAUUGAAGCGAGAGUCAAGGCAAUGUAUUUUCUUCCCGGCUCCCAGGCAAGAGCGGUAAGAUACGAACUGGAUUGACACGGAGAAAAAUGGAAUGGAGUCCGAAUGGCACUCAACAGCUCCUCACAGUAAAACUGCCUGGCAAGGACCUGGAUUCCCAAAGGAGAGAACCAGGAGAUCUCAAGCUUGGUGGGCACACAACAGCAGCUCUUCUAGAUCCCUUUUCCAUCGGAAAGACUUAAUAAACAAUUAAGGGAAUGUACAUUUGAAGAAAUGCUAAUUUCCGAGAGACAUUUUUUUCCAAAGGAAGAACAGCUAUGAAAAAAUAAAUGUAGGCCUUAGUCAACUAGCUAAUCUUGCACCGAUAUAAAAUAAUUAUUCUUAUCACCGCCUCUCCUCAAACUAAACUAAAAUUAGUAAGGUUCAGUGUUAGAGCGCUCCUUUAGCAUGCAAGAGUCCUUGGGUUUGAUCCCCAGCCCUACAAACAUAAAAGAAAGGUCCAACCUUUCUGAUUUGUGGCAGGCUUUAAAUAAAGCAUAACACUCAGGGUCAAUCUAACAAGAGGAAAAAGUCUCUUACACUCUAAUACUGUAGGUACAAUCUGCAUUCACCCAGUUCAAUGGUGAGCCUUUCUUUUUUAGAAAACAAUAUGAUUACAUUUAAAAAUAGAAAAAAAAAUAUGGGACUUAGCUUUCUAAAACCACUGGACAAAUCAUGAAUUUGAAUUUCUUAUUUCUGAUGAAUUUCACUGAAGAUUUUUGUUCACCAGGUGAUACAAAAAAUAGUAUAUAGCCAGGGAUUUGUUUCCACUGCCUGCCUCACAAGCUCAAGGUCCUGAGUUCAAUCUCUGGUACCAAAAAAAAAGUAUACAAAAAAAUUUACUUGGGGUCUGGGAUAUAGCUCAGUGGCUGAGCGUUUAUUUAGCAUGUGAGACACUGGGUUCAGUCCUCAGUGCACCCACCUCAACCACCCAAAAAGAAGAAAAAAACCUACUUGCAAAGAAGCUUGAUAACCACUUUACACUCCAUCAAAAGAAAAACUUGGGAUUGGGGACAAUGGCACAUGCCCGUAGUCCCAGCUACUGAGGAGGCUGCCUGGGCGAUUUAGUUAAUUAGCAAAAUCCUGUUCUCAAAACGUAAAAACAAAACAAAACUCAAAGGGCUAGGGAUGUAGCUCAGUGCAAAGGCUCUGGGUUUAAUCCCCAGUACAAUAAAUAAAGCAAUAAACAGAAGAAAAACUUGGACUAGAGGUGUAGCUCAGUGGUAAAGUGCAUGCUAAGCACAACUCCCGGGGUUUGCUCCCUAGCAUCACGUUUUGUACUUGUAGCACUAAGCGGCCUUUAGAUUUAGAGGGGCAAACACCAACUAUAGUAACAAACACAAGGAAAGGUAGUCAACAAUCAAUAUAGAAGGCUGUUGCCCAUGAACAGGUAGUCUGUUGUCUCUGACAUCCCAUAUUAAACCAGUGUAGGUUGCUUUUGUUUUGUCCUUUAAAACCAACCUAUAAGAAUUUCACACAUAUAAAAGAAUUGUAAGGGAAAUUUCUGAAAGUUAAGUAUGCUGAAGGAAACCAGGAGAGUAAGAUAUUCUAUGUGGGGUUUUGUUUUUUGUUUUUUGUUUUUUAGCUCUUGCUUGCAUAAAGCCUUCUUAACACUGCCAUUUUACUGAGAUGGGAGAGAGUCUGAGUGGGGAAGUUUUUCACAGCAACUCUGGAGUGGAUCUGGAAUGGAGUCUUCUGCUCCUUCACAAAUUCUGUAGAAGAUACUUGAAAAGAACAUAGUGCAGUUAUAGACAAAAUGGAGGGAGGUGGGCAUGCAAUCCUGUGAAACAGGAUAGAGGGCUAGAAAAGCAAAUGUGCCGUUUGUUCUCUGCAGCACAGCCACCUCAAGAGAAUCCUCCAGCAGGAUCAUCCUAGGCUUUUUGUGCAAGAAUCAAAAUCCAAAGGAAUUCAUUAGACAUAAGACGGGAAGUGUUGGGUACAUAUUGAGGAUACUCCUAAGUGAAAUAAAUAAGUCACACAUGUGUAAAUACCAAAUAGUUUCUCUGGUGUGAAUAAACUAUAAUGGUACAUAAGAUCCUAAUGAGAUAAUUGACAAUGUGAAAUAGGAAGAAAAUGGCUAAAGGCGUAGGGAAAGUGGGAAGGGUAGGGGAAAGGCAAUAAGGGAAAAGAAGAAAAUGAAGAAAUGGAAAUAAAGUGUUUGUAAAUGGGGGGAGAGUUGGGGCUGAAGGGAGGGCAGGGACAAGGGGUAAAAAUGAGAACCAAGACCUGUCAUGUCAAGGUACACGAUCCCAAUAAUGAGUGUAACUGCACUGUAUACCUAAAAUGUACCAAUAAACACAAUGAGGAAAAAAAAAAGACGGGAAGUGAAUGGCCCCUAAAGGAAAGCAUUCUGACUAGCCUUAAUAGGGUUUAAGCCCAUCUCUCCCUACAGAAAAUGACUUUUUCCAAAGAAAAAAAAUGGACCAAAC